UGCAAGUCGAGCGGACUAUUUAGGAGCUUGCUCCUUGGAAGACAGCGGCGUACGGAUGAGUAACACGUGGGAAACCCGCCUGUAGAACUGGCAUUCCUCCGGGAAACCGGGGCUAAUACCGGAUAUUUCCUUUUUCCGCAUGUAGAACGGAUAAAGGACGGCUUCUGCUGUCACUUACGGAUGGGCCCGCGCCCCAUUACCUAUUUGGUGGGGUAACGGCCUACCCUCGCCACGAUGCGUAUCCGACCUGAGAUGGUGAUCGGCCCCGCUGGCACUGAAACUCAGACCAGACUCCUACUGCAGGCAGAAGUAGGGAAUCUUCCUCAUGGGACGCGAAUCUGACUGAGAUGCGCCGCCUGCGUGAGGAAGGUCUUCGGAUCCUAAAACUCUGUUAUCAGGGAAUAACCCGAAUCGGACUAACUGCCGGUGCGAUGACCGUACCUGAUCAGAGCGCCACGGCUAACUACUUGCCAGCGGCCGCGGUAAUACCUAAGUGGCUGGCGUUGUCCGGAAUUAUUGGGCGUAUAGCGCGCGCAGGCGGCUUCUUAAGUCUGAUGUGAAAUCCCACUGUUCAACUGUGGAGGGUCAUUGCAAGCUGGGAGGCUUGAAUGCAUAAUAUGACAGCGAAAUUCCUCGAGUUGCGGAGAAAUGCGUAUAGAUGUGGAGAAUCUCCAGUGUCGAACGCAGCUCUAUGGUCUGUAACUGACGCUGAGGCGCGGAUGCGAGAGUCUCGAACACGACUACAUACCCUGUUAGUCCUCGCCGUAAACGAUGAUUGCU
rnacentral:rRNA from 1 species